UUGCACGGGUGAGCUCCUAUGGUUCCUAUGACAAUGUACAUCUACUGCUUCUCUGCUACUGCAAGUGUCCAUCCUUGUAUGGUAAGCUUUGUGGUUUGGUCUGGGAUGGAAAUACACAUUUGCACCGGCUUGAUUCAGCUUUGUGUUGUCUGGAUCACCAUUGUAG
rfam:Triticum urartu cultivar G1812 contig1013981, whole genome shotgun sequence.